rnacentral:rRNA from 1 species
AUGCCCAUGCUAACUCGGCGCCCCCUUGCGCCCGCGGCUCCACGGCGACUUCCUCGACACCGGCCACCCCGACUCGACAUCGACCACGGCAUUCUUCGCACGGCUACCUCGACCACGGCUCCACCACACACGCUCUCGGCUACAUCGACAAACGGCACAAAGGGCUACCGCCUGCUUGAGCAACCUCGUCGGUUUCCACUCCAGUCACGACAUCUACGAUGCGUCGACCGUUACGACUGUGGGGGGUGUCCGUCGGCUUGCCUUCGGAUUCUUCUCCAAUCUCACCGUUUGCGUCGCUACCGUUGUGACUGCGGGAGGAUGUUGAGUAUAAGAUUAUUAGGAAGUAUAGGAUAG